UAAUAGGGUCCAGUGUGUGUUCAUGUGGUGGCAUCACAAAGGAAGCCGAGGGGAUCCAGGCCUUCAGGGGUUAAUGAACCUCAGGCACAGCUCACAGUCCAAAUCCCCUGCACCUGGGUGCCUAUUAUUUCUCUGCCACUCCUGCCAGAUCACUGAUCUCUCUGCUGCAUCCCACACAUUUUGGGCUCAGCUUCUUCAGUGAUAGGAGGGGGUUGCUUUGGCGGGAGUGGCAGCUGAACAGACUGAAUCUGCCUGACCUACAUUUCUCCACUGCAGAAAAGAGCUCAAGUCUUCACCACUCCUUCCAGCUCUUGUCUUGCCACAUCAACUGACUGUUGGACAUCUCUCACCCUGGAAAUCUUUCUGCCCUCUCAAGCAACUUAAGCAAAAUAGAACUUACCUGCCCUGUAAAAUCCAUCCCUCUUUCUGGUGUUCAAGGAUUGAUUUCAACCAAGAGAUCUAAGAGAGAGAAAAAUUCCCCCCAAAAUGGAAAAAAUGCUGUUUACUCCUUUCUCCCUAAAACAAAGGCAACUGAGGAGAUAUCAGCAACUACUGAGACAUGUACUUACAUUCUCAUCCCUUUAAAAUCUUGAUGAAAAUGAAAACACACUGUGGUACCUCUGAUGAAAACAUGAGAGGGAAGUAGGCAAAGCUUUCCCCAAGGAUUUUCUACAUCAGACACAUUCUCAUAGUCUCACAAAUGACUGAAGUGUAGAGAAUUUCAGAUUUCUUGACCUAAUGGAGCAGAAUGUAGGUUUGUUUAUUUGUUUGUUACAUUUAAGUACUUAGUUAACUCUCUCCCUUCCAUCCCCAUUAGAGAAGAUAUAAUUUAAUGAAAAACAUAUGGUAUAUAAAACUAUGUCUUACUUAUUUCUCAGUUCCUUUUCUGGUGGUAGAACUACGUGUCAUUCUUCAAAUAUAAUAUUUCUGUUGCUGUUUAUAAUGUUCUCUUGGUUCUGCUCAUUUCACUCUUCUUAAUUUCAUGGAGGUCUUUCCUUGUUUUUCCAAAAUUAGCCCAUUUGCCAUUUCUUACAGUGCAGUAGUAUUCCAUCACAAUCAUAUGCCACAACUUGUUCAGCCAUUCCCCAGUUGAUGGCCAUCCCUUCAAUUUCCAGGUCUUUGUCACCAAGAGAGCUGCUAUAAAAUUCAUUUCCAUUUUCCUUGAUCACCUUAGGAAAUAUAUAGGCUCUUUCCCAUUUUCUUGAUCAUUUUGGGAAAUAAACCCAUCAGAAGUAUUUCUGGAUCAAAAGGUAUAUACAGUUUUAGAAUUCUUUGAACAUAAUUCCAGAUUGCUCUCCAAAAUAGUUGAAUCCAUUCACAGUUUCACCAACAAUGUAUUUGUGUCUCCAUUUUUCCACAUCUCCUCCAACAUUUGUCAUUUUGCCCUUUUAUCAUUUUGCCAUUCUAAUUGGUAUGAGAUGAUAUCUCGGAGUUACUUUGAUUUACAUUUCUCUAAGCAAUGAUGAUGUGGAGAAUUUUUUCAUAAAGUUAUAAUAUAAUUUUUAUUACUUUAUCCAAAAACUGUCUGUUCAUAUCCUUUGAGCACCUAUCAUUUGGGGAAUGACUUUAUAUUCUUAUAUAUUUAACAAAGGUCUCUAUAUAUUUUUUCUGGAAAAUUGUAUAACAUUUUCCUCAACUUCUUUCCUUCUAACCUUGGCUACAUUAGGUUUAUUUUUACAAAAACUUUUCAGUUUAAUAUAUUCAAAAUUAUCCAUUUUACAUCUCAUAAUGUUUUCUAUCUCUUGUUUUUUCAUAAAUUCUGCUAUCCAUAAAUCUCAUGGGUAAUAUGUUUCUGAUUUUUUUAAACCCUUACCUUCUGUUUUAAAAUCAACACUGUGUAUUGGUUCCAAGGCAGAAAAGUGGUAAGGGCUAGGCAAUGGGAGUUAAGUGACUUGCCCAGGGUCACACAGCAAGGAAGUAUCUGAGACUAGAUUUGAAUCCAGGACCUCCUGUCUCUAGGCCUGACUCUCAAUCCACUGAGCCACCCAGCUGUCCCUUAUGUUUCCUAUUCUUCUCAUUCACUUAUGAUAUCUCCUUUUAUGCCUAGGUCAGAUAUCCACUUUGAUCUUGGCUUGGUAAAUGGUACAAGAUAUUGGUCUAUAUCUAAUUUUAAAUGCAAUUUUGAAAACUCUUCUCAAAAUAAGUGUCUCCCGCCAAUGUGGCAUAUAUUAAUAUCAUGCAAAAAUCUAUGAGUGAUGCAACCACUGAGAUACAAUUUUGUUCAUAGACAGGCUGAAGAAAAAUAGCACUGAGCAACUGGGAAAGCAAAUAUUUGUCUGUCUGCCAAUCUCAUGGUCUUGGGCAGAGGACAAAUACAAAAGGUAUACAGUUCAGGAAGACCCAAGUUCAAAUUCAGUUUCUGAUACUUGCUAACUGCAUAAAUUUUUUUAAGCCCUUACCUUCUGUCUUGGAGUCAAUACUGUGUAUUUGCUCCAAGGCAGAAGAGUGGUAAGGGCUAGGCAAUGGGGGUCAAGUGACUUGCCCAGGGUCACACAGCUGGGAAGUGUCUGAGGCCAGAUUUGAACCUAGGACCUCCUGCCUCUAAUCCUGGCUCUCAAUCCACUGAGAUAUCCAGCUAUCCCCUAACUGCAUGACUUUGAGCAAGUCACUUAACCUCAUUCUGCCUCAGUUUCCUUAUCUGCAAUGUGGAUAUAAUAUCAUCUACCUCAUUGGGUUACUGGGAAGAUCAAAUGAGAAAACAUAUGUAAAAUAUGUUGGAGAUAUCAAAGCACUCUAUAAAUUCUAGAUAUUCUCAUUAUUGUUUUUGUUGCUUAUGAGGGUGACAUUCUCCAGAUGUCUAUAUUUCAUACAAGCUAAAGCUGCCAGUUUUGUUGCACUCUCAAAUACUACACAGCCUCCAAAAUGACUUCCGCAGUCCCUCAAAGGAGAUUGGGCUAGCCAGCUGCACUGACAAAACAAAGAAAAUUAAAAUGCAUAUUACUGAGAUUAUGACAUGCACUUGGCAGGCAGCCUGCUGAGUUAUUCCAUCAGUACAUGUGUCUGGAGCGGACACUGCAGGUAGGUCAGGAAUUGGGUCCAGAAGUGGCUAUGAGGAGGAGCACGGUGGAUUUCAUCUGGAAAAGGCAUUGUGCCUUCAGUCAUCCCAAACUCCCUGUUACUGCAAAAGCUCAUCUUUUAAAUGCCAAUAUUUUCCCAGGGAUGAUAAAUAGCCGUGAAUCAUGUCAUAGUCUCAGAAGAUUCGAGAGUAAGAUGACACCAGCAUCAGUGGAAAGAUAUACAAAUAGUCAAAAUUCUGUAGUCAGUAUUAUCCUUUCUCGAAUCUCCUAAAUCACCCAGGAAGUAUAAUAUAUUAUUUUACUCUUCCAAGCCCCGGUGUCACAUUCCACUUUAGGACGCAGAAGGGAGGCAUGGAAAGAGAAGCAGCAGUUACUGUUGGGUGAGUGAUGAAGCCUUAGGAGUCAUUCACCAAGGGAUUAUGACUCAUGCCAACUCUACUUAGCAUCCCUGACCUUUGGACCACUCUUAAUCCUGAAAUUAGGGAUUUGAGCUGCUGAUUUCCCAUAUGUAGAUUGUUCCAACAUGUGAUUCACUUUGGAGACUUGCUGUGUGUGUGUGUGUGUGUGUGUGUGUGUUACAGGGGUGGUAGGGUGGGGAGGACAGGAGAGUGAGGAGAGAAGGUAACAGAACCAUGUUGGAAGCGCAUGAUAUAGAGGGCUCUGCACAUCUUGGGGCUAGUUAAUUAUUUUCUUCUCAACUCUUCUCUUCUUUAAACAUUUCUAUGUUGUUAUUGCCUCAUAUUAUUGACAAUGACUUUUGGGCAAAAAUAAUGUGAAUCAGGAAUACAUGUGAUUAGAAAAGGAAGUGAGCUAGUCAUGUAAUGAGAAGGAGAAAAGGAUAACAGAGAAUGGCCCAAAUAUUGCUGUGAUCAAUUUAAUUAAUUUACCAGAGUCAGCCUUUGUGUGAAACCUUUGGUUGUGUUCUCUCUUUCUCUCUACCUGUCUGUUUGUCUCUUUCCCUACCAAGGGUCCUUAACCUUUUCUGUGUAUCAUGGAUCCCUUUGGCAAUCUGGUGAAGUCUAUGAACCUCUUACACAGAAUAAAGUUUUUAAAUGAAUAAAAUAAAACACAUGGAACUAGAAAGAAAACCAAUUCUAAUUAAAUGGUGUGUAUAUGUGUGCAUGUGCGUGUGUGUGUGUACACACACACACACACACACACACACACAUACAUAUCAAUGACCAAGUUCCCAGACAUCAGGUUAAGAAUCACUAUAUAGAAUGGUAUAGAGUGUGCACUACUGGUAUCUUAUUAAGAAGACAAAAGGUAAUUCUUGGCCAAGUUUCAACAACGAUGGCUGCCCCCAAGACGAUCUGGUUAGCUUAGAAUGGAUUCUGUAAGCAGAAUUUAUCCACUCUGCUGAUGUAGACAAAAGAAGCAGUCAGACUUUCUCAGACUCUUUCUUUUCUU